CCGGCUUUUGCCCGGUCUAAAAAGCCGGGAGAAUAAGCGGGGGGCAAGUCUGGUGUCAGCCGCCGCGGUAAUACCAGCUCCGCGAGUGGUCGGGGUGUUUACUGGGCUUAAAGCGCCCGUAGCCGGCCCGGCAAGUCGCUCCUGAAAUCCCCGGGCUCAACCCGGGGGCCGGGGGCGAUACUGCCGGGCUAGGGGGCGGGAGAGGCCGCCGGUACUCCGGGGGUAGGGGCGAAAUCCGUUAAUCCCCGGAGGACCACCAGUGGCGAAAGCGGGCGGCCAGAACGCGCCCGACGGUGAGGGGCGAAAGCCGGGGGAGCAAAGGGGAUUAGAUACCCCUGUAGUCCCGGCCGUAAACGAUGCGGGCUAGCUGUCGGUCGGGCUUAGGGCCCGGCCGGUGGCGAAGGGAAACCGUUAAGCCCGCCGCCUGGGGAGUACGGCCGCAAGGCUGAAACUUAAAGGAAUUGGCGGGGGGGCACCACAAGGGGUGAAGCUUGCGGCUUAAUUGGAGUCAACGCCGGAAACCUCACCCGGGGCGACAGCAGGAUGAAGGCCAGGCUAACGACCUUGCCGGACGAGCUGAGAGGAGGUGCAUGGCCGUCGUCAGCUCGUGCCGUGAGGUGUCCGGUUAAG
rnacentral:rRNA from 1 species